GUUAUAUGGUCAAGUGACCAAGCGUGCACGGUGGAUGCCUUGGCAGUCAGAGGCGAUGAAGGACGUGGUAAUCUGCGAAAAGCUCGGGG
rnacentral:rRNA from 2 species